UGCUAUUCAGCCUUUUUGCUUAUCAGGUUAAUAUCUAGCAUACCCUAAGGACCCUACAAUAGGUAUAUUUUUGGAGCUUAGAGAAUUGAUGGUAACUUGGCUUUGACCAUUUCAUAAAUAGACCUAGUACUGCAGUGCCACCAGGAAAUCCCAA
rnacentral:snRNA from 1 species